rnacentral:lncRNA from 1 species
AUAUACUAAGAGGUAAGGUGUGAGAAGUGGAGCAGAGCAUCACCAGGGCCAACAGCAGAGACCCUAAGGAGUCGGAAAGGCAUGCUCCUCCUGGACCCCGGUGAAAGCAAGCACGCAAGGCUCCGGCGAUGCGCCCCAACGGCCGGCAGGGGGCGCGCGAACUCAACGUAAAGGCUCACCUGGCGCCGCCCACCAGCCGGACCCCCGGCUGCCAGGGACGCUCUCCAGGACGACCGCAGCUGCUCCGCAGGGAGCGGGGUCUCGACCCAGGAGAUAUUCUUCCUUUCUCACAGUUUGAAAACAUGAUUUUAUGGCAGGCCAACAUUUUGAUAUCGUUUCUUUGGCUGACAACAAUGAUAGCCAUUUUGUUGGCACAUUUUUAG